CCUACGGGUGGCAGCAGUAGGGAAUCUUCCACAAUGGGCGAAAGCCUGAUGGAGCAACGCCGCGUGGGUGAAGAAGGUCUUCGGAUCGUAAAACCCUGUUGUUAGAGAAGAAAGUGCGUGAGAGUAACUGUUCACGUUUCGACGGUAUCUAACCAGAAAGCCACGGCUAACUACGUGCCAGCAGCCGCGGUAAUACGUAGGUGGCAAGCGUUAUCCGGAUUUAUUGGGCGUAAAGGGAACGCAGGCGGUCUUUUAAGUCUGAUGUUAAAGCCUUCGGCUUAACCGGAGUAGGGCAUUGGAAACUGGGAGACUGGAGUGCAGAAGAGGAGAGUGGAACGCCAUGUGUAGCGGUGAAAUGCGUAGAUAUAUGGAAGAACACCAGUGGCGAAAGCGGCUCUCUGGUCUGUAACUGACGCUGAGGUUCGAAAGCGUGGGUAGCAAACAGGAUUAGAUACCCUUGUAGUC
rnacentral:rRNA from 1 species